rnacentral:piRNA from 1 species
UUGUCAUUGUACAUUCGAGAAAUGACUUGA